rnacentral:lncRNA from 1 species
AAAUUAUAUAACAUUCCUAAAAUUCUGAUCCAUCCUGGUUGUCAGUCAUAAUUCUAGUUAUUAUCUUGAAAUGUUAUAUGUCACAGAAAUAGCCAAGUUUCUUUGUCAUUUGCCCUUUUUGAGUCUUUUGUCAUUUGCAGAUAGCUGUUGUUUUACUCUGAUGUUUUUGCAGAUGUAUCUCAUCUUCAGAGAGAUUCAUGGAAUGGACUCUGACACUCUAGAAUACAGGUUUCUGAUAAACUUUCAGAUCAUAAAACUGAACUGGGACAUAACUGGAAACAUUGGUUAUAUUAACAAUGCUUUGACUGGAAUGUCAUAUUUGAGAGAAACAUGCAGACUCAGAUAUGACAAGACAGCUAAAGGACAAAGAUUGACUUUAUGGAAUAAAGCAACUUGGGAAUAUUGCCCUGGUAUCUUGCUUAUAGUUUUCCAGCAACCUUACCAGGAACCACAAGGGCUACAGAACAUGGCUUGCCUGACCAAACUGGAGCCUGAAGUCUGAGAGUUAUGCAUCCUGAGUAAGUCAGGCCCUUGAUUGGUCAAUUUUUACUGAGCACCUACUACUUGGAAGGCACUAUGUUUGGAAGUGGAGAGAAAGGCCAACUGAGACACAACCCUAACUUUGUGGUCCGAAGUAUUCCAUUCUGGUUCACACUAGUCUCAUCUGAAGAAGAGUAUCAGGGAGAAGAUGGUGCCCACCACAUGGAUGCAGAGGUAGGCAAUCCAGUGGUGGCCUGAAAAGCCCAUGAAGUCACCCAAGUCCAGGCUUCUCCUAUUUUGCUGCUUUGCCCUUCUUAGCAUACAACUUCCACCCUAAAGUUUGCCUCAUGGUUUUAAGAUGGCCACUGCAACUCUAGCCAUUGCAACUGCAUUCCAGGAUGGAGGAAAGAGGAAAAGAGAAGUGAAAAGGGGCAGAAGAGCACUUUCCAGGCGGUCCAGUGUUUUGUUGGUUCGAAUCCUGGGCGCAGACAUGGCACUGCUCAUCAAACCACACUGAGGCAGCGUCCCACAUGCCACAACCAGAAG